rnacentral:rRNA from 1 species
GGUGAGUAACACGUGAGUAACCUGCCCUUAACUCUGGGAUAAGCCUGGGAAACUGGGUCUAAUACCGGAUAGGAGCGCCCACCGCAUGGUGGGUGUUGGAAAGAUUUAUCGGUUUUGGAUGGACUCGCGGCCUAUCAGCUUGUUGGUGAGGUAAUGGCUCACCAAGGCGACGACGGGUAGCCGGCCUGAGAGGGUGACCGGCCACACUGGGACUGAGACACGGCCCAGACUCCUACGGGAGGCAGCAGUGGGGAAUAUUGCACAAUGGGCGAAAGCCUGAUGCAGCGACGCCGCGUGAGGGAUGACGGCCUUCGGGUUGUAAACCUCUUUCAGUAGGGAAGAAGCGAAAGUGACGGUACCUGCAGAAGAAGCACCGGCUAACUACGUGCCAGCAGCCGCGGUAAUACGUAGGGUGCGAGCGUUAUCCGGAAUUAUUGGGCGUAAAGAGCUCGUAGGCGGUUUGUCGCGUCUGUCGUGAAAGUCCGGGGCUUAACCCCGGAUCUGCGGUGGGUACGGGCAGACUAGAGUGCAGUAGGGGAGACUGGAAUUC